rnacentral:lncRNA from 1 species
CCAUUAUUUAUAACACAACUUGAUGCCCCUGAGUAUAAAGUUUCAAACCAUCUACAUAAAGAAGGCCCAAAAUUAAAGCUUUUCAAAGUAUUUUUUAAAAAUAACCAUUCCAAGGAAUCAAAUGCCUUUUCAAAAUCAACAAGUAAUAAAAGACCUGUCUUAUUAUUUUCCUCAAGAUAGUGCAUCAAAUCAUAUAAAAGGCGUGUGUUCUCACCCAUAAAUCUGUCUUUAAUGAAACCUUUUUGUGUGUCACUUAUGAUAAAUGGUAAAACGGGUUUAAGUCUAUUAGCUAUAACAGCAGAAGCUAUUUUCAUAUCAGUAUUCAAAAGACUAAUAGGACGCCAGUUACUAAUAUACUGUCUGUCUUUUCCCUCUUUAGGAAUGCAAGUUAUUAUACUUUGAUACUGAAAAUCAGAAAAUUUACCCCCCCGCAUAUCCAAAGUGAAGAGAUCGAAAGACAAAAGGGCCAAUAUCUUUCCAAAAAAAUUUAUAAAAAUCUACAGAAUACCCAUCAGAACCAGGACUUUUACCAUUUGUCAUAAAUUUUAAAGAUUCAGCACAUUCUUUAAAAGUUAAAUUUCCUUCACAAAGAUCACUUUGUUCUUCUGUAAGCUUAAUG